GAGGACGAGAACGCUGUGGAAGAGGACACAGGGUGAGGCUUGAAAAUGGUUUCCCAGGCGGAGUCGGCAGCACUGUGACAGGUGACGGCGAGGUCGUGACAGUGGACCCUUUGCCGCCUGCCCGUGCCCACGGCUCAGAGCCAUUUAAGCAAAUCCAGAUGACAAGACGUGGGUCUCCCGGGAAAUGGAAACCAACAGCUGCGAAAUAUUGCAGCGGAACCGACUCCUGGUUUGUCAUCGGAAUGAGAGCUGGUGAUGUGGCAUAGCAGCUAAAGCGGCCGCCUGCUGUGCCAGCAUCCUGUUGACACAGGUUUGAGUCCCGGCUGCUCCACUUCCAGUCCAGCUCUCUGCUAUGGCCUGGGAAAGCAGUGAAAGAUGCCCCAAGUCCUUGGGCCUCUGGACCUGUGUGGGAGACCUGGAGGAGGCUCCUGGCUCCUGGCUUCAGAUCAGCUUAGCCAGUUGCAGCCAUGUGGGGAGUGAACCAGUGGAUGGAAGACCUCUCUCUCUGCCUCUGCCUCU